GGGGGUAUAGCUCACUUGGUAGAGCGUCUGCUUGCACGCAGAAGGCAAGCGGUUCGAUUCCGCUUACCUCCA
rnacentral:tRNA from 1 species